rnacentral:rRNA from 1 species
ACAUGGGGUGCAAACGUUGCUCGGAAUCAUUGGGCGUAAAGCGCGCGUAGGCGGUUACUUAAGUCGGAUGUGAAAGCCCUCGGCUUAACCGAGGAAGUGCAUCCGAAACUGAGUAGCUAGAGUACGAAAGAGGGUCGCGGAAUUCCCGGUGUAGAGGUGAAAUUCGUAGAUAUCGGGGGGAACACCGGUGGCGAAGGCGGCGACCUGGGUCGAGACUGACGCUGAGGCGCGAAAGCGUGGGGAGCAAACAGGA